rnacentral:rRNA from 1 species
UACGUAGGGUGCGAGCGUUGUCCGGAAUUAUUGGGCGUAAAGAGCUCGUAGGCGGUCUGUCGCGUCGAAUGUGAAAACCCGGGGCUCAACCCCGGGCCUGCAUUCGAUACGGGCAGACUAGAGUUCGGUAGGGGGAGUCUGGAAUUCCUGGUGUAGCGGUGAAAUGCGCAGAUAUCAGGAGGAACACCGGUGGCGAAGGCGGGACUCUGGGCCGAUACUGACGCUGAGGAGCGAAAGCGUGGGGAGCGAACAGG